rnacentral:rRNA from 1 species
UACGAGAGGCCCAAACGUUAUUCGGAAUUACUGGGCUUAAAGAGUUCGUAGGCGGCAUGAAAAGUAGGGUGUGAAAGCCCUCGGCUCAACCGAGGAAUAGCGCUCUAAACUGUCGUGCUAGAGGAAGCUAGAGGUGAGCGGAACUGAUGGUGGAGCGGUGAAAUGCGUUGAUAUCAUCAGGAACACCGGAGGCGAAGGCGGCUCACUGGUCCAUUACUGACGCUGAGGUGCGAAAGCGUGGGGAGCAAACAGG